rnacentral:rRNA from 1 species
GACGAACGCUGGCGGCGUGCCUAAUACAUGCAGUAGAACGCUGAAGAGAGGAGCUUGCUCUUCUUGGAUGAGUUGCGAACGGGUGAGUAACGCGUAGGUAACCUGCCUUGUAGCGGGGGAUAACUAUUGGAAACGAUAGCUAAUACCGCAUAACAAUGGAUGACACAUGUCAUUUAUUUGAAAGGGGCAAUUGCUCCACUACAAGAUGGACCUGCGUUGUAUUAGCUAGUAGGUGAGGUAAUGGCUCACCUAGGCGACGAUACAUAGCCGACCUGAGAGGGUGAUCGGCCACACUGGGACUGAGACACGGCCCAGACUCCUACGGGAGGCAGCAGUAGGGAAUCUUCGGCAAUGGGGGCAACCCUGACCGAGCAACGCCGCGUGAGUGAAGAAGGUUUUCGGAUCGUAAAGCUCUGUUGUAAGUCAAGAACGGGUGUGAGAGUGGAAAGUUCACACUGUGACGGUAGCUUACCAGAAAGGGACGGCUAACUACGUG